CAGCAGCCGCGGUAAUACGAAGGGUGCAAGCGUUAAUCGGAAUUACUGGGCGUAAAGCGUGCGUAGGCGGUGAGUUAAGUCUGCUGUGAAAUCCCCGGGCUCAACCUGGGAAUGGCGGUGGAUACUGGCUCGCUAGAGUGUGUCAGAGGAUGGUGGAAUUCCCGGUGUAGCGGUGAAAUGCGUAGAGAUCGGGAGGAACAUCAGUGGCGAAGGCGGCCAUCUGGGACAACACUGACGCUGAGGCACGAAAGCGUGGGGAGCAAACAGGAUUAGAUACCCCCGUAGUCCCUGUCUCUUAUAC
rnacentral:rRNA from 1 species